AGCUCAGUUGGUAGAGCACUUCCAUGGUAAGGAAGGGGUCGUCGGUUCAAAUCCGACA
rnacentral:tRNA from 1 species